rnacentral:rRNA from 1 species
GACGAACGCUGGCGGCGUGCCUAAUACAUGCAAGUCGAGCGGAUGGAAGGAAGCUUGCUUCCUAAAGUCAGCGGCGGACGGGUGAGUAACACGUGGGCAACCUGCCCCUAAGAUCGGGAUAACUUCGGGAAACCGGAGCUAAUACCGGAUAUGAUUAUGUCUCACAUGAGACAUAAUGGAAAGACGGUUUCGGCUGUCACUUAGGGAUGGGCCCGCGGCGCAUUAGCUAGUUGGUGAGGUAACGGCUCACCAAGGCGACGAUGCGUAGCCGACCUGAGAGGGUGAUCGGCCACACUGGGACUGAGACACGGCCCAGACCCCUACGGGAGGCAGCAGUAGGGAAUCUUCCGCAAUGGACGAAAGUCUGACGGAGCAACGCCGCGUGAGUGAAGAAGGUUUUCGGAUCGUAAAACUCUGUUGUUAGGGAAGAACAAGUACCAUAGUAACUGAUGGUACCUUGACGGUACCUAACCAGAAAGCCACGGCUAACUACGUGCCAGCCGCCGCUGUAA